rnacentral:rRNA from 1 species
AGCAGCAGCCACGGGAAUACGAAGGGGGCUAGCGUUGUUCGGAAUUACAGGGCGUAAAGCGCACGUAGGCGGACAUUUAAGUCAGGGGUGAAAUCCCGGGGCUCAACCCCGGAACUGCCUUUGAUACUGGGUGUCUUGAGUAUGGAAGAGGUAAGUGGAAUUGCGAGUGUAGAGGUGAAAUUCGUAGAUAUUCGCAGGAACACCAGUGGCGAAGGCGGCCUACUGGUCCAUUACUGACGCUGAGGUGCGAACGCGUGGGGAGCAAACAGGAUUAGAUACCCCAGUAGUCCCUGUCUCUUAUAC